UACAGGGGGCCCGAGCGUUAGUCGGAAUCACUGGGCUUAAAGGGUGCGUAGGCGGACGUAUAAGUGUCGUGUGAAAGCCCACUGCUCAACGGUGGAACUGCACGGCAAACUGUACGUCUCGAGGAAGCUAGAGGUCGCUAGAACGCUUGGUGGAGCGGUGGAAUGCGUAGAUAUCAAGCGGAAUGCCGAAGGUGAAGACAGGCGACUGGGGCUUUCCUGACGCUGAGGCACGAAAGCGUGGGGAGCAAACAGG
rnacentral:rRNA from 1 species